GACAGAGGUGCCGAGCGUUAGGCGGAAUCACUGGGCUUAAAGCGUGUGUAGGCGGGCGGGCAAGUACCUUGUGAAAUCCCACGGCUCAACCGUGGAACGGCUGGGUAUACUGCCUGUCUUGAGCCAACUAGGGGCGAGCGGAACAGACGGUGGAGCGGUGAAAUGCGUAGAUAUCGUCUGGAACGCCAGAGGUGAAAACAGCUCGCUGGGGUUGUGCUGACGCUGAGGCACGAAAGCCAGGGGAGCGAACGGG
rnacentral:rRNA from 1 species